rnacentral:tRNA from 1 species
GUCUCGGUAGCUUAGUGGUUAAUGUGCAGCCUCGGAUAGGUUGAGAUGCGGGUUCGAAUCCCGCAUGAGAUG